CCCUUAGAUGUCCUGGGCCGCACGUGUGCUACACUGAUGCAUACAGCGAGUACUUUCCAGCUCCGCGAGGCGGCUGGUAAUCAGCAAUAUGCAUCGUGCUGGGGAUAGAUCUUUGGAAUUAUAGAUCUUGAACGAGGAAUUCCUAGUAAGCGCAAGUCAUUAGCUUGCGCUGAUUAAGUCCCUGCCCUUUGUACACACCGCCCGUCGCUCCUACCGAUUUCGAGUGAUUCGGUGAACCUUUUGGACAGCGUCUGUCCUCGUGUCAGAUGCUGAAAGUCAAGUAAACCAUAUCACUUAGAGGAAGGAGAAGUCGUAACA
rnacentral:rRNA from 1 species